CUCUUCUGACAAACCCUCUGCUCCUGCUAGGGUCCUCCUCUGUGCUCCCCACUCGGAGCAGCUGACUAGCUGUGUGACUCUGUGAACGGUAUGUAACCUCUCUGAGCCUCAGUGUCUGCAGCUGUGAAAUGGCUAUAGCAGCCAUCGUACUUACAGUAUAGAGAUGUACAAGGUGAAAAGAGGCAUGUCUGAGUAGGUCUUUGCCUAGUGCCUUCUGCAGUGAGCGCUCAGUGCAUGGUAGCCUCUCGACACCUUUAGUGGAGCUUUCUGUCUGAGCCUCUGCCACUCGGAGGAGAUUGGAAACUUCUAGAAGACUCCCUACCCCAUGCACAGCACCGCAUCUUCAACAUAUAGCCCAGUGAUCAAUAAAUGUUUGUGUAGGGACCAACGCUUAAGGAGCUUCUCUGGCUGUUUCCUUUGGGGAAGGCCCAGGUAGUCUAAUGAUGUGAAUGACUUAAUUGGUGUGGUGUUUUACCAGCACCUGUGGUUUGAGGAUCUGCGGUGACCUGCCCAAGGCCACACACAUAGUACUUGGCAGAGUAAGGACUUUUGUCCUCUGUGCACUAAGGCUACCCCUCCCACAGCUACCUGACUGACUAAGCAGGAUCUUGGCGUGGCUGCAGAGGGAGAGAUGGGCCCUCUGGGGAGGGGUAGCUCCGGGCCAGCUAGAGUGGCUGCUGACGGAUGGCUUGAUAAUGAUCAAAAGGUGCACCUCCAAGGUCCUCAAAGUCCAGAAGACCUGUUAUUCAGAGAUUUGAGAUUUGCGCAAACCCAGCUCAGCAGCAAGUCCUCGUGUAGCUUGGUCAGUCAAGCAGAGGGGAGCCAAAACUUUGGAAAGAAUCAUCUCAGAAAACCAGGUGCUGUGUCUCAUACCUAUGUAAAAAAUCAGUCUCCUAGUUGUUGUAAACACUCAUAAUGGGGAAGCAUUUGCUGUGUUUAUAUAUGUUAAAAGUUUUUUAUAGGAGUGCCUGGGUGGCUCAGUGGGUUAAGUCUCUGCC